UGGGGAAUCUUGGACAAUGGGGGCAACCCUGAUCCAGCCAUGCCGCGUGAGUGAUGAAGGCCUUAGGGUCGUAAAGCUCUUUCGCCUGUGAAGAUAAUGACGGUAGCAGGUAAAGAAACCCCGGCUAACUCCGUGCCAGCAGCCGCGGUAAUACGGAGGGGGUUAGCGUUGUUCGGAAUUACUGGGCGUAAAGCGCACGUAGGCGGACCAGAAAGUUGGGGGUGAAAUCCCGGGGGCUCAACCCCGGAACUGCCUCCAAAACUAUUGGUCUAGAGUUCGAGAGAGGUGAGUGGAAUUCCAAGUGUAGAGGUGAAAUUCGUAGAUAUUUGGAGGAACACCAGUGGCGAAGGCGGCUCACUGGCUCGAUACUGACGCUGAGGUGCGAAAGUGUGGGGAGCAAACAGGAUUAGAUACCCUGGUAGUCCACACCGUAAAACGAUGAAUGCCAGUCGUCGGGUAGCAUGCUAUUCGGUGACACACCUAACGGAUUAAGCAUUCCGCCUGGGGAGUACGGUCGCAAGAUUAAAACCUCAAAGG
rnacentral:rRNA from 1 species